GUGGGGAAUUUUGGACAAUGGGCGCAAGCCUGAUCCAGCAAUGCCGCGUGCAGGAAGAAGGCCUUCGGGUUGUAAACUGCUUUUGUACGGAACGAAACGGUCCUGGCUAAUAUCCGGGGCUAAUGACGGUACCGUAAGAAUAAGCACCGGCUAACUACGUGCCAGCAGCCGCGGUAAUACGUAGGGUGCGAGCGUUAAUCGGAAUUACUGGGCGUAAAGCGUGCGCAGGCGGUGCUGUAAGACAGGCGUGAAAUCCCCGGGCUCAACCUGGGAAUUGCGCUUGGGACUGCAGUGCUGGAGUGCGGCAGAGGGGGAUGGAAUUCCGCGUGUAGCAGUGAAAUGCGUAGAUAUGCGGAGGAACACCGAUGGCGAAGGCAAUCCCCUGGGCCUGCACUGACGCUCAUGCACGAAAGCGUGGGGAGAAAACAGGAUUAGAUACCCCUGUAGUCC
rnacentral:rRNA from 1 species